rnacentral:rRNA from 1 species
GACGAACGCUGGCGGCGUGCUUAACACAUGCAAGUCGAACGGAAAGGCCCUGCUUUUGUGGGGUGCUCGAGUGGCGAACGGGUGAGUAACACGUGAGUAACCUGCCCUUGACUUUGGGAUAACUUCAGGAAACUGGGGCUAAUACCGGAUAGGAGCUCCUGCUGCAUGGUGGGGGUUGGAAAGUUUCGGCGGUUGGGGAUGGACUCGCGGCUUAUCAGCUUGUUGGUGGGGUAGUGGCUUACCAAGGCUUUGACGGGUAGCCGGCCUGAGAGGGUGACCGGCCACAUUGGGACUGAGAUACGGCCCAGACUCCUACGGGAGGCAGCAGUGGGGAAUACUGCACAAUGGGCGGAAGCCUGAUGCAGCAACGCCGCGUGCGGGAUGACGGCCUUCGGGUUGUAAACCGCUUUCGCCUGUGACGAAGCGUGAGUGACGGUAAUGGGUAAAGAAGCACCGGCUAACUACGUGCCAGCAGCCGCGGUGAUACGUAGGGUGCGAGCGUUGUCCGGAUUUAUUGGGCGUAAAGGGCUCGUAGGUGGUUGAUCGCGUCGGAAGUGUAAUCUUGGGGCUUAACCCUGAGCGUGCUUUCGAUACGGGUUGACUUGAGGAAGGUAGGGGAGAAUGGAAUUCCUGGUGGAGCGGUGGAAUGCGCAGAUAUCAGGAGGAACACCAGUGGCGAAGGCGGUUCUCUGGGCCUUUCCUGACGCUGAGGAGCGAAAGCGUGGGGAGCGAACAGGCUUAGAUACCCUGGUAGUCCACGCUGUAAACGGUGGGUACUAGGUGUGGGGUCCAUUCCACGGGUUCCGUGCCGUAGCUAACGCUUUAAGUACCCCGCCUGGGGAGUACGGCCGCAAGGCUAAAACUCAAAGGAAUUGACGGGGCCCCGCACAAGCGGCGGAGCAUGCGGAUUAAUUCGAUGCAACGCGUAGAACCUUACCUGGGUUUGACAUGGAUCGGGAGCGCUCAGAGAUGGGUGUGCCUCUUUUGGGGUCGGUUCACAGGUGGUGCAUGGCUGUCGUCAGCUCGUGUCGUGAGAUGUUGGGUUAAGUCCCGCAACGAGCGCAACCCUUGUUCACUGUUGCCAGCACGUUAUGGUGGGGACUCAGUGGAGACCGCCGGGGUCAACUCGGAGGAAGGUGGGGAUGGCGUCAAGUCAUCAUGCCCCUUAUGUCCAGGGCUUCACGCAUGCUACAAUGGCUGGUACAGAGAGUGGCGAGCCUGUGAGGGUGAGCGAAUCUCGGAAAGCCGGUCUCAGUUCGGAUUGGGGUCUGCAACUCGACCUCAUGAAGUCGGAGUCGCUAGUAAUCGCAGAUCAGCAACGCUGCGGUGAAUACGUUCCCGGGGCU